CGUACCUUUCACUGCGUCAGUUCUCCGUGUUGCUACUUCGACUUUCUGGAGAUCAGGAACACCAACACCGUUAGUGACAGAGUGUACUGCGACAAGGACAUUGUUCCCGGCCAAGUGUUCACGUCAUCUGUCAACCCACUGAUCCUCUUCUUCUACACUAUAAGUAACCACUAUUCUGGAUGGUCGGCCACUGUGUCCUUCGUGCCACGUGCAGGGUGCACGUGAGGGAGAAGAGUCUUCACUAACAACUGGCAUUCUGUGAGCAGAGGGACCUCAAAUCAAAUUGCUAUGUCCGUGACCAGUCCUGGGUGAGGCGUUUAGUGAUCACCGCAUGCGGGAGAACACCUGCCCGCAAUCAACCAUCUACUGCGAAUCUACCAAUACGACGUACAACCUAGCUACCAAUAAGACGUUCACCCCAGCUACCAAUACGACGUUCACCCCAGCUACCAAUAAGACGUUCACCACAGCUACCAAUAAGACGUUCACCCCAGCUACCAAUACGACGUUCACCCCAGCUACCAAUAAGACGUUCACCCCAGCUACCAAUAAGACGUUCACCCCAGCUACCAAUAAGACGUUCACCACAGCUACCAAUACGACGUUCACCCCAGCUACCAAUACGACGUUCACCCCAGCUACCAAUAAGACGUACACCCCAGCUACCAAUAAGACGUUCACCACAGCUACCAAUAAGACGUACACUCCAGCUACCAAUACGACGUUCACCCCAGCUACCAAUAAGACGUUCACCCCAGCUACCAAUACGACGUUCACCC